UGGGGAAUAUUGCACAAUGGGCGAAACCCUGAUGCAGCGACGCCGCGUGAGCGAAGAAGGUUUUCGAAUCGUAAAGCUCUGUCCUAUGAGAAGAUAAUGACGGUAUCAUAGGAGGAAGCCCCGGCUAAAUACGUGCCAGCAGCCGCGGUAAUACGUAUGGGGCGAGCGUUGUCCGGAAUUAUUGGGCGUAAAGGGUACGUAGGCGGAAAUGCAAGUCAGGUGUAAAAGGCAGUAGCUUAACUACUGUAAGCAUUUGAAACUGCAUAUCUUGAGAAGAGUAGAGGUAAGUGGAAUUUUUAGUGUAGCGGUGAAAUGCGUAGAUAUUAAAAAGAAUACCGGUGGCGAAGGCGACUUACUGGGCUCAUUCUGACGCUGAGGAACGAAAGCGUGGGUAGCAAACAGG
rnacentral:rRNA from 1 species